ACACAGAUUGCAUUCUGCGUGGCUGUGGUUGUGGUGCAGGCCAGCAGCUGCAGCUCCAAUUUGACCCCUAGCCUGGGAACUUCCAUAUGCCCCAAGUGUGGCCCUAAAAAGAAAAAAAGGAAAAAAAAAAAAAAGACAAAGCAAACAAACGAAAAACGGGGACAUACUUAAAACUGAGUUGUAUUAAAAUGUCAAAAUGAUUUGUUUACCAUGGCCAAUUACCUGAUUGCUUUGUUGACACAAAAUUUUAUUGUCACAUUAAAGACCAUACUUUUUAAAACUAAAAGUAUCAUAAAUUAUCAUCCAGUAUGGUCUUCAAAAGUAGGCUCUAAAAUCAAAAUUGAUUUAACUGGAAGUUCAUAGAUCAAGAAGUUGUUUUAUGUGUCAAAGUUACUGACUCAAUAAAUAUACUGCAUUUGUAUGAUCAGAGAGAUGUGAACUUGAAGGACUUCAUUACAUUGUAGGUAUGUUAAAAUCAGCAACAGAAAACAUGGCAUUAUCAAGUUCUAGAAUUUCUCAGCUUAAAAUGUUGUUACAAUUUUAAUAGAUCUACUGGGUGGGAAAAAAAUUCACAUAGAAUAAAAUAAGUUCAAAGUAAUACAGAGUACCUAAAAUAUAGUAAGUUAAAUUACUUCUACUUAAUAUAAGGGACUGUGCUAAAGCAAGAAAGGAAAGGUAAACUUAAUGUCAAUACUUCUUUUCUUUUCUUUUUUUUUUUUUCCAGGGCUGCACAUGUGGCAUAGGGCUAUUCCCAGGCUAGGGGUUGAAUGUGAGCUACAGCUGCUGACUAUGCCACAGUCACAGCAACAUGGGAUCUGAGCCACGUCUGUGACCUACACCACAGUUCGGCAACACCAGAUCCUUAACCCAACGAACGAAGCCAAGGAUCGAACCCACAUCCUCAUGGACACUAGUCAUAUUCGUUAUGGCUGAGCCACAGUGGGAACGCCAAGUAUUUCAUUUUUUAAAAAGUAUUUCAUUUAAGAAUGAUACUUGCAUUGUUUUUAGGGUUAGUACAUUUUGAUUGCGUCUUUUUUAACUGAAAAUGGUUAAGUGGACUUCUACAGAAAGAUAGUAGAUUGUGCAUAUACAUUUAACUCCAUUCCUUGCCAAAAUCCUUAUCAUUAAGGACAAGGAAUUUGAAAAACAUAUUAACCCAUGAUGGGUAAUGGAAUAAACAUAUAAUAGCAUAAAACAAACAUGAAAAACAAAACAGUAAUUGAUCAGCAAUUGGUAGAAAACGCCUAAGAAAAGUUGAAUUGUACUAUAAAAUACAUACAUUAGACUGACUAAAAUGAAAAAAAUACAUUCAAAAUACCAAGUUUGUGCCAGAAUGCAGAAAAAUUGGAAUUCAUAUAUUGCUGUAAAACUGUAUAUUUCUACAAGCACUCUGCAAAGCUGUUUAAUUUCUCCAUUAAUUCUGAACUUAUGCAUAUCCUAUCACCCAGAGAUCUUACCAAGUGCAUUCUCAACAUUACGUGUGCACUCUGUGCACACAAAUAUUUAUAAGAAUGUUCAUAACACUGUUAUUCUAACUGUUUCUAUCUUCAAACAACCAAACUUUCCAUCAAUAAAAGAGUGAUAAAUAAAUUGUAGUGUUACUUUAUACAAUAGAUUAUUAUGUAUAAUGAAAAUGAAUCAAUCACUACAUUGUACAACGAAUUAAUCUCAGAAAAUAUUGGUUAAAAGAAGUCAGACACUCAAAAGAUACUUACUGUUAAAUAACAUUUAUAUACAGUAGUCCAGAAACAGGCAGUUUUUUUUUUUAUAAUUUUAUAAGCUGGAUCAGAGAUGACUUUUAAGCAAAAAGUAGGGUUUAGUGAUUAAACGUGAGAGGAAUUCUACAUUACUGGUUAUAUUCUAUUUCUUGAGUUGAAAACAUGAGUGCUGAACUUUGUGAUAAUAGUUUAGGUUGUACAAUUACAGUUUUAUCGAUGUUUUUGCAUAACUUCUAAAAGCUCCUGAAUAAUUUAUUAAAUAAUAUUAAAUAGAAAUGUAUAGUUUUUCUUUUAUCAUGAGAUGAUUGGGGUCCACCAAAUGCUGUGGAUUAGCUCAGGUAAAUCAGAAGUACCACUGGAUUUCGCAGCAAGAUGAGAAGACUAAUAACGUCCAUAAAAAGUACAGUCCAUGGUAUGGUGAAAACAAAACUUUCUAGCAUUUGAUUCCAGCGAAAAUGUAAAGUUGGAAGUGGAAAUGGUAAUUACAGUUAGUUCUUUCAACAAGUUUUACUAUGAAAGAGAAGGAUUUGAAAAAUAAAAGUCAAGGUGAAACAUUCUAGAGCACGUUCAUGAACUGAAGGGAACAGGUACUACACAAAGAGAAAUAACACAAGGAGGGAGGUCAUAGCUGCAGGGAAAGAGAAGGUUAAGACCAGAGGGGACCCAGACAUCUGUGGACACCACCUCCAGGGGCACAGACGAGCAGGCAGAGUUUGUGUACAGACACUUGUGUGAGAGGAGACAGGGAGUUGGUUAGGUACGCUUGCUUUAACUUAAGCUAAGAGGAGUGAGAUUAAAAGCAGCAUGAAGAGGGAAGAGAGAGGCUUUAAAAUGGCCAUUUGGAAAGAGGAAAAGGGAAUGUGUUUCCGUCACGGCCAGUGACAUAGUUUUCUUCAUAACCACUAAGUAAAUUCAAAUAAUUUUAAGUAAUUUUUAGUGACUUGAGAGAACAAAAGAAUGUCCUUGUCUUUUCCUAAAGAAAAUUAUCAGUUUAUGUAGAAGUGUUUUAUUCCUAAAAUUAGCAUCUGAUUAGAAGGUAAAAAGGCUCUUCAAGCUGUUCCUUCCAUUGCAUUAAACAAAUACCUGGAAGAAAUAUCAGGUUGCACCAUCAUCUGAGUAUAUAAGUAUAAAAUCAUUUUCAUGAUGUUAAAAAAAAAAGACAUAUGUUGAUAAAUUGCAUGGAAUUGGUAUCACUUCACCUAUGUAUACAUUUUAUUUAUUACCGUAAGUCAAAUGUUAGAGUAGAACCGGAAAUUUUAAAAGUUAUGAUUAGAAAAGAAGGGAUGAACAUCAUCAUAUCCUCAGGAAGUUUUCUAUCAAGUAGGGGAGACAUACGUGUAGGAAAUCAUAGCAAUUAUUGCGACAAUGAUGGCAGUUGUAACAAAGUAAUUAACUCUUUCUUGGGGCUGCUGUAUAAUUCAGAGGCUUGCUACAAAGACAUUCUUUCCUCAGUUGACUUCUGAUUAAUUCAUCCAUUCCACAUAUAUUUACUGAGCACCAACUACAUACCAGAGAUUGUUUUACAUGCUGGGAUAAGUGAGUGAAUGAGACAGAUAUCAUCUUGUCCUCAGGUAGUUUACAUCCUAGUAAUAGAGAGAGAUAAUAAACAAAUACACAAAGUAUACCAUCUAGAGAUAAGAAUUAUAAAGAAGGGAAUAACUGACAUGAUAAGUUGGAAAGGUAAAGAAACUCCUGCAGCAUUUACUAGGAACUAAGAAAACCCAUAGCAAGAUGCAAGGAAAAGGAAGGGAAAGGAAAGAAUAUUAAAGAUAGGAUGAAAUCUGUUAAAUCUUUUGAAUGUUGUAUAAAAAGUGGAUUCUACUUGGAAGGCAUUGUGAAACUACUGAAGGAUAUCAAGCAAGGGAACGAUAGGUUUUUAUUUUAAAAUAAUCGCUUGGACAGUGGUGUGGUGUUUCAAUCACAGUAGAGAGAAACUAAAAUUGAUGUGGGCUUUUUAGGUAAAAAAAGGAAAGACAAAAAGAGAAGGAAAGAAGGAGCAAGAGAAGGGGUAGAGGAGGAAGAGAGAGAAAGGCAGAAAUAAGGGCAGAAAGAAACUGAAGAAAAAAUUCAGAUGAGAAAACAAAGAAACGAUUUUCUUAAUGAAAUAAAGGGUGAAUUCAAAGGGCAUAUUUAUUUCAUCAUUGGCCCUAAAGCUAAGCUCUCUGCUUCUGAAACCCAUCAUGCCUACUCACUUUUGCAUGCCCUUGGGUAAUGUCUUCCUUUGUCUCAGAUUAUUUGUAAAAUAAGGAUGAUAAUAACAAUCACGAGGUAUGAUCUGUUAAGACUGAACUAAUGAACAGUGUUUUUCUUUGAAAGCCUGGACCUGGCACAUACAUAUUAGAAAAUUAAAAAGCAGCUUCUGUUGUUGUGGGAGAUAUAAAGAAUGACACAGAAGAAUAAGUCAAAGAUAACGUUAAAUGUCUUACUUGGUUAAUUGGGCUGAUGAUAGUACUCCCAGUUUAGAAAGAGACUCAAAGGGGAGGCAGAUUUGAAGGGAAAUAAUAAGGUCGUUGUUUAACAUGCUGAUUUUGAAGUACCUGAGGGAUGUCUUAUUAAGUUUGCUUAUUAAGCGAUUCGCUUGUCAAUCAGGAGUUCAAUGAGGAGGUCUGUACUGAAGAUAAAUAUUUGUGAAUCAUUUCUGUGUAGGAGCAGAUGAAGUCAUUCAUUGCAAAUGCUGUCAUCUAGGGAAACUAUAUAGAUUCAUUAAAGAGAGAGGUGUGCCCAAUACAUACGGAAUGAAAGGAGAAAAUCAAAAAGGCAUAGUCAGAUUUGAAGAGGAAAUAUGAAAGAAACAUAUUAAGGGAAUAAAGAUUUUCAUGAAUGAGAGUAUUUGAUAUUAUCAAAUUCUGCCACAGAAAACAGGACAAGAACAUAAAAUCUCAAUUCUUUCUCACUCACCACUAGCAGAGUCAUCAACAUCCCUGUUUCUCCUAAGGGUCUGUUCAAGAGGCUUUUUCUAUCAUGCUCCUCAAAAUUCGUGAGCCAAUUGCUCAAUCUAAAAGUCACUUUUCGGAGCUCCCAGCAAGGUGCAGCAGAAGCGAAUCCGACUAGGAACCAUGAGGAUG
ensembl:lncRNA